UUCCUACGGGAGGCAGCAGUGGGGAAUAUUGGACAAUGGGCGAAAGCCUUCAGCCAUGCCGCGUGUGUGAAGAAGGUCUUCGGAUUGUAAAGCACUUUAAGUUGGGAGGAAGGGCAGUAAGUUAAUACCUUGCUGUUUUGACGUUACCAACAGAAUAAGCACCGGCUAACUUCGUGCCAGCAGCCGCGGUAAUACGAAGGGUGCAAGCGUUAAUCGGAAUUACUGGGCGUAAAGCGCGCGUAGUGGUUCAGCAAGUUGGAGGUGAAAUCCCCGGGCUCAACCUGGGAACUGCCCCAAACUACGAGCUAGAGUACGGUAGGGUAGUGGAAUUUCCUGUGUAGCUAAAUGGAAUAUAGGAAGGAACACCAGUGGCGAAGGGACUACCUGGACUGAUACUGACACUGAGGUGCGAAAGCGUGGGGAGCAAACAGGAUUAGAUACCCUGGUAGUCCACGCCGUAAACGAUGUCGACUAGCCGUUGGGAUCCUUGAGAUCUUAGUGGAGCUAACGCGAUAAGUCGACCGCCUGGGGAGUACGGCCGCAAGGUUAAAACUCAAAUGAAUUGAGGGGCCUCCAAGCGGUGGAGCAUGUGUUUAUUGAAAACAAACCUUACCUGGCCUUGCAUCUGAGAACUUCCAGAGAUGGAUGGUGCUCGGGAAUCAGACACAGGUGCUGCAUGGCGUUCAGCUCGUGUCUGAGAUGUUGGGUUAAGUCCCGUAACGAGCGCAACCCUUGUCUUAGUUCCACACCUGGGUGGCACUCUAAGGAGACUCCGGUGACAAACCGGAGGAAGGUGGGGAUGACGUCAAGUCUCAUGGCCCUUACGCCAGGGCUACACACGUGCUACAAUGGUCGGUACAAAGGGUUGCCAAACCGCGAGGUGGAGCUAAUCCCAUAAAACCGAUCGUAGUCCGGAUCGCAGUCUGCAACUCGACUGCGUGAAGUCGGAAUCGCUAGUAAUCGUGAAUCAGAAUGUCACGGUGAAUACGUUCCCGGGCCUUG
rnacentral:rRNA from 1 species